GGAAUACCCGCUGAACUUAAGCAUAUCAAAACCCGAGAGGAGAACUUUACCGAGUUAUACAACU
rnacentral:rRNA from 1 species